GAAUGACAGAAUGGCCUGGGUUGCACAGGAGCACAGCGCUCAUCCAGCUCCAAGCCCUGCUGUGUGCAGGUCGCCAAGCAGCAGCCCAGGCUGCCCACAGCCACAUCCAGCCUGGCCUUGAAUGCCUGCAGGGAUGGGGCAUCCACAGCCUCCUUGGGCAACCUGUGCCAGUGCCUCACCACCCUCUGCCUCCAAAACUUCCUCCUCACAUCCAACCCAAACCUCCCCUGUCUCACUUUCAAGCCAUUCCCCUUGUCCUGUCACCACCCACCCUCACACACAGCCGUUCCCCCUCCUGUUUAUCCGCUCCCUUCAAGCACUGAAGGCCACCAUCAGGUCUCCCUGCAGCCUUCUCUUCUCCAAGCCAAACAAGCCCAGUUCCCUCAGCCUUUCCUCACACAGAGCUGCUCCAGCCCUCUGCUCAUCUCAGUGCCC